rnacentral:rRNA from 1 species
CGGACGGGUGAGUAACGCGUGGGUAACCUGCCUUGUACUGGGGGACAACAGUUAGAAAUGACUGCUAAUACCGCAUAAGCGCACAGUAUCGCAUGACACAGUGUGAAAAACUCCGGUGGUACAAGAUGGACCCGCGUCUGAUUAGCUAGUUGGUAAGGUAACGGCUUACCAAGGCGACGAUCAGUAGCCGACCUGAGAGGGUGACCGGCCACAUUGGGACUGAGACACGGCCCAA